rnacentral:misc_RNA from 1 species
GAUGAAGAACUUAGCGAAAUGCGAUAAGUAAUGUGAAUUGCAGAAUUCAGUGAAUCAUCGAAUCUUUGAACGCACAUUGCGCCCGGCAGUAUUCUGGCGGGCAUGCCUGUUCGAGCGUCAUUACGCCCCUCAAGUCCCCUGUGGACUUGGUGUUGGGGAUCGGCGAGGCUGGUUUUCCAGCACAGCCGUCCCUUAAAUUAAUUGGCGGUCUCGCCGUGGCCCUCCUCUGCGCAGUAGUAAAACACUCGCAACAGGAGCCCGGCGCGGUCCACUGCCGUAAAACCCCCCAACUUUUUAUAGUUGACCUCGAAUCAGGUAGGACUACCCGCUGAACUUAAGCAUAUCAAUAAGCGGAGGA